rnacentral:rRNA from 1 species
AAUGAACGUUGGCGGCAUGGAUUAGGCAUGCAAGUCGGGCGAGAAGUGUAGCAAUACACGGAAAGCGGCGGAAGGGAGAGUAAUACGUGGAAAUCUGCCCUUAGACCUGGGAUAGCAGCGGGAAACUGCUGGUAAUACCAGAUAAUGUCUAUGGACCAAAGGUGUGAUUCCGUCUAGGGAUGAGCCCACGUCCUAUUAGCUAGUUGGUAGGGUAAUGGCCUACCAAGGCGAUGAUGGGUAGCGGGUGUGAGAGCAUGACCCGCCUCACUGGGACUGAGACACUGCCCAGACACCUACGGGUGGCUGCAGUCGAGAAUCUUCGGCAAUGGGCGCAAGCCUGACCGAGCGAUGCCGCGUGCGGGAUGAAGGCCUUCGGGUUGUAAACCGCUGUCGAGGGGGAGCAACUUCCAUAGAGUUAUCUUUAUGGAUUGAGUGAUCCCUGGAGGAAGGACGGGCUAAGUUCGUGCCAGCCGCCGCUGUAAAAC